rnacentral:rRNA from 1 species
CUACGGGUGGCUGCAGUGGGGAAUAUUGCGCAAUGGGGGAAACCCUGACGCAGCAACGCCGCGUGAAGGAUGAAGGCUUUCGGGUUGUAAACUUCUUUGAUUAGGGACGAAAAAAAUGACGGUACCUAAAAAACAAGCCACGGCUAACUACGUGCCAGCAGCCGCGGUAAUACGUAGGUGGCGAGCGUUAUCCGGAAUUACUGGGUGUAAAGGGCGUGUAGGCGGGGAAGUAAGUCAGAUGUGAAAUUCCGAAGCUCAACUUCGGGGCUGCAUCUGAAACUGCAUCUCUUGAGUACUGGAGAGGAAAGUGGAAUUCCUAGUGUAGCGGUGAAAUGCGUAGAUAUUAGGAGGAACACCAGUGGCGAAGGCGGCUUUCUGGACAGUAACUGACGCUGAGGCGCGAAAGGGUGGGGAGCAAACAGGAUUAGAUACCCCUGUAGUC